rnacentral:lncRNA from 1 species
CGGGGGCAUACAAAAACAGUAGAGAUGAAGAGUUGAUGUUUUGAAGUAUUCUCAUUGGGUGGAGGUGGGCAUGUAAAAUCACAAGAGAUGUUGUGUUGUUAUUGAGUAUAUUUCUCUUUGGAAAAAGGGGAGGGUGGCAUAGAAAAUCAAUUUUGUAUUAGGGGGGGGGGAAACAAUUGAAAAUCUCAUUGAUGGAAUUGGGGACCAUAUUUAAACAGAAGAGGUGCAGAGUUGCUGUUUAAUAGAAUUCUCAUUUGUUGGGGAGGGGGAGUAGUAAGUAAGUAAAACGGUAGACAUACAGUACAAGUGUUGCAGUUUUAGUAGGUAAAAAUGUGUAUCUUGUCUAGCCAUGUCACAACAUCAGUCUGAUAAAAUAUAUUUUUAUAUUUGAUCUAGGUAUUUAUUAUCAUAUUUAAAAAAAAUUUAAAAAUAAUGUAUAUUUUUAUAUCAUAUUAAAGCAUAUUUUGUAUU